rnacentral:lncRNA from 1 species
CAAAGCUUCAGCUGUCUGGGGAAAAGUGAGGAUUUAACAGCAAUUUGGAGGGCAGAUCUGCUGCCAAGGUGGUUGGAGGAAAUGCUGGAGAGAAUGACUCUGGCUGCGAUCCUCCCCAGUGAGGACAGUUUGUCCAUGAAAGCCCCAGGGAGAGCUGCAGGUGAUGGAUGAGGUGCAAGCUGGCAGAGGCUUUUCCACCAGCCUAUGGUGGUAUCAGCUUAGAAACUCUUCCUUCAGGCUUGCCUCUCUGUUCUCCAGACUGGGUGCUACCAACAAAUUCGUGCCUCUUCCAAGUCAGCAUUGUAUUCUAUGGAAGUAAGGUGAGAAGAGAAAAUAACAUUUGUUUUUUUUUAAUUUUUUUUGUGAGUCAAAAGUGAAGCCCUUUCCAAAAUAUUCAGUAUGGUCUAUCUGAAACAUUUUAUUUCACCCACAACGAAAGACUGUGUUUUGUUUUCCGUCAUUUAAUCUUAAUUUAAUUUUUAACAAUAUUUCCAUCCUCUGGUU